CAGUGUAAAGCUUGUCAGGAGGACUGGUUACUCAACGAGUCUAACUGCUAUGAGAUUCAUGAUGCUGAUCCUUCUAAUCAGAAAACCUGGGAAGAAGCUUGAGUAAACUGCAGCGGGUAUAACGCAGAUUUUGUUAUUGUACACAGUCAAGAGGAAAAGGAUAUGAUCAAUGGUUACAGCUGGGGUAACCAAGAUGAGAGUGGAUACUGGAUUGGCCUGAGAGUUGAAAAUGGGAGAUGGAAGUGGAUUGAUGGAAGUGAUCUGGCUGUAGACUUCUGGAUAGGACCUCCCUUUGACGGUCACUGUGCAGUUUCUGUCCAGGACGUAGGAUGGAGAUCAGUGAGCUGUGCUGACAGAAAACGAUGGAUCUGCAAAAAGAAGGCUUUAUGUGUUUAAACACUGCAGUCAUAUUCAGCAUGAUAAUAUCAACUGGCUUAUACAUAUGAAACUAUGAAAACUUUCAAAGCUGUUUGUGUGUGUCUGAAAAAACAGACACUUAGAUUAAAUGUAAUUGAGUUAGAUAUUUGGAUUAUAGAGGUAUGGUGUGUCUGACUACUGACACCAACAUUUAAGAAAAUACAGUGACUGGCCUGAAGGGGCACUAAACUGUUAAUUAUCAAUAACUAUAAAUAUGAUUUUUUCUUCUUCGUUAGAGUUGCAAUGCCAGAGACCGGUUAGUAGAGGAUUUUUGGCAAUGCUUAUAUUUCCUGUUUCUAUGACAUUUUAUUUUGUUGCUCCUGAUUGGCCAACAGAGGGCGCUGCAUCACUUGUUCUCAACAGAAUGUUCCAGAGUCUGUUUCAAUAUUUCCUUGUACAGCUGAUGGUUAAGUGUUAUCUUUCUAUCUAGAAGCAGUUUCAUAUUUUAGUCUAUUACAUUGAAUAAAGUGUAUGCCAGAUA